rnacentral:rRNA from 1 species
AGCGAACGCUGGCGGCAGGCCUAACACAUGCAAGUCGAGCGCCCAGCAAUGGGAGCGGCAGACGGGAGAGUAACACGUGGGAACGUGCCCUUUGGUUCGGAAUAACUCAGGGAAACUUGAGCUGAUACCGGAUAAGCCCUUACGGGGAAAGAUUUAUCGCCAAAGGAGCGGCCCGCGUCCGAUUAGCUAGUUGGUGAGGUAAUGGCUCACCAAGGCGACGAUCGGUAGCUGGCUGAGAGGAUGACCAGCCUCACUGGGACUGAGACACGGCCCAGACUCCUACGGGAGGCAGCAGUGGGGAAUAUUGGACAAUGGGCGCAAGCCUGAUCCAGCCAUGCCGCGUGGAUGAUGAA